rnacentral:rRNA from 1 species
GACGAACGCUGGCGGCGUGCUUAACACGUGCAAGUCGAACGGAAAGGCCUGCUUUCCCUUGUGGAUUGCGGGUACUCGAGUGGCGAACGGGUGAGUAACACGUGAGUGAUCUGCCCCCAACUUGGGUAUAAGCCUGGGAAACUGGGUCUAAUUCCCGAUAGGACUGCAGGGUGGUGCCUGUGGUGGAAAACGAUUUUCUAGUGGUUGGGGAUGAGCUCGCGGCCUAUCAGCUUGUUGGUGGGGUAAUGGCCUACCAAGGCGGCGACGGGUAGCCGGCCUGAGAGGGUGGACGGCCACAUUGGGACUGAGAUACGGCCCAGACGCCUACGGGAGGCAGCAGUGGGGAAUAUUGCACAAUGGGCGGAAGCCUGAUGCAGCGACGCCGCGUGGGGGAUGACGGCCUUCGGGUUGUAAACUCCUUUCGACCGCGAGGAAGCCACCUGGUUGGAAGGGUGGUGACGGUAGUGGUAGAAGAAGCACCGGCUAACUACGUG